GACGAACGCUGGCUGCGUGCUUAACACAUGCAAGUCGAACGCUGAAGCCGACAGCUUGCUGUUGGUGGAUGAGUGGCGAACGGGUGAGUAACACGUGAGUAACCUGCCCCUGAUUUCGGGAUAAGCCUGGGAACCGGGUCUGAUACCGGAUACGACCAUCCCUCGCAUGAGGGUUGGUGGAAAGUUUUUCGAUCAGGGAUGGGCUCGCGGCCUAUCAGCUUGUUGGUGGGGUAAUGGCCUACCAAGGCGACGACGGGUAGCCGGCCUGAGAGGGCGACCGGCCACACUGGGACUGAGACACGGCCCAGACUCCUACGGGAGGCAGCAGUGGGGAAUAUUGCACAAUGGGGGAAACCCUGAUGCAGCGACGCAGCGUGCGGGAUGACGGCCUUCGGGUUGUAAACCGCUUUCAGCAGGGAAGAAGCGAAAGUGACGGUACCUGCAGAAGAAGUACCGGCUAACUACGUGCCAGCAGCAGCCGCAG
rnacentral:rRNA from 1 species